AAUGAACGCUGGCGGCAGGCCUAACACAUGCAAGUCGAACGGAUCCUUCGGGAUUAGUGGCGGACGGGUGAGUAACGCGUGGGAACAUACCCAAAGGUACGGAAUAGCCUCGGGAAACUGGGAGUAAUACCGUAUGUGCUCAAAGAGGAAAGAUUUAUCGCCUUUGGAUUGGCCCGCGUUGGAUUAGGUAGUUGGUGGGGUAGUGGCCUACCAAGCCGACGAUCCAUAGCUGGUUUGAGAGGAUGAUCAGCCACACUGGGACUGAGACACGGCCCAGACUCCUACGGGAGGCAGCAGUGGGGAAUCUUAGACAAUGGGGGAAACCCUGAUCUAGCCAUGCCGCGUGAUCGAUGAAGGCCUUAGGGUUGUAAAGAUCUUUCAGGUGGGAAGAUAAUGACUGUACCACCAGAAGAAGCCCCGGCUAACUCCGUGCCAGCCGCCGCGGUAA
rnacentral:rRNA from 1 species